rnacentral:rRNA from 1 species
GGGUUGUGAGGUUAAGCGACUAAGCGUACACGGUGGAUGCCCUGGCAGUCAGAGGCGAUGAAGGACGUGCUAAUCUGCGAUAAGCGUCGGUAAGGUGAUAUGAACCGUUAUAACCGGCGAUUUCCGAAUGGGGAAACCCAGUGUGAUUCGUCACACUAUCAUUAACUGAAUCCAUAGGUUAAUGAGGCGAACCGGGGGAACUGAAACAUCUAAGUACCCCGAGGAAAAGAAAUCAACCGAGAUUCCCCCAGUAGCGGCGAGCGAACGGGGAGCAGCCCAGAGCCUGAAUCAGUGUGUGUGUUAGUGGAAGCGUCUGGAAAGGCGCGCGAUACAGGGUGACAGCCCCGUACACAAAAAUGCACAUGCUGUGAGCUCGAUGAGUAGGGCGGGACACGUGGUAUCCUGUCUGAAUAUGGGGGGACCAUCCUCCAAGGCUAAAUACUCCUGACUGACCGAUAGUGAACCAGUACCGUGAGGGAAAGGCGAAAAGAACCCCGGCGAGGGGAGUGAAAAAGAACCUGAAACCGUGUACGUACAAGCAGUGGGAGCCUCUUUAUGGGGUGACUGCGUACCUUUUGUAUAAUGGGUCAGCGACUUAUAUUCUGUAGCAAGGUUAACCGAAUAGGGGAGCCGAAGGGAAACCGAGUCUUAACUGGGCGUUAAGUUGCAGGGUAUAGACCCGAAACCCGGUGAUCUAGCCAUGGGCAGGUUGAAGGUUGGGUAACACUAACUGGAGGACCGAACCGACUAAUGUUGAAAAAUUAGCGGAUGACUUGUGGCUGGGGGUGAAAGGCCAAUCAAACCGGGAGAUAGCUGGUUCUCCCCGAAAGCUAUUUAGGUAGCGCCUCGUGAAUUCAUCUCC